rnacentral:rRNA from 1 species
CAGUAGCCGCGGUAAUACGGAGGGUGCAAGCGUUAAUCGGAAUUACUGGGCGUAAAGCGCACGCAGGCGGUCUGACAAGUCAGAUGUGAAAUCCCCGGGCUUAACCUGGGAACUGCAUUUGAAACUGUCAGGCUGGAGUCUUGUAGAGGGGGGUGGAAUUCCAGGUGUAGCGGUGAAAUGCGUAGAGAUCUGGAGGAAUACCGGUGGCGAAGGCGGCCCCCUGGACAAAGACUGACGCUCAGGUGCGAAAGCGUGGGGAGCAAACAGGAUUAGAUACCCGAGUAGUCCCUGUCUCUUAUAC